CGAGCUGUAGCUCAGUGGGUAGAGCUCUUGCCUGGCAUACACAGAGCCUGGGUUCAACUCCCCCCAGCUCUG
rnacentral:tRNA from 1 species